GGAUUGUGGCUCAGUGUAGAGUGCUCGCCUAGCACGGGCGGGACCGGGGUUCGAUCCUCAGCACCA
rnacentral:tRNA from 1 species